rnacentral:rRNA from 1 species
UGCAUGUGUAAGUAUAAGUGUUAUACGGCGAGACUGCGAAUGGCUCAUUAAAACAGUUAUAGUUUAUUUGACAAUUGAAACUACAUGGAUAACCGUGGCAAUUCUAGAGCUAAUACAUGCUUAAAAGCCGGACUCACGGACGGCUGAGUUUAUUAGAUACAACCAACCCUCGGGUUGCGUGGACUCAUAGUAACUGAUCGGAUCGCCUUGGCGAUGAGUCAUUCAAGUUUCUGCCCUAUCAGCUCUCGAUGGUAGUGUAUUGGACUACCAUGGCAGUCACGGGUAACGGAGAAUUAGGGUUCGGUUCCGGAGAGGGAGCCUGAGAAACGGCUACCACAUCUAAGGAAGGCAGCAGGCGCGUAAAUUACCCAAUCCUGAUUCAGGGAGGUAGUGACAAGAAAUAACAACCCGGGGCAAUAGCUUCUGGGAUUGCAAUGAUCGUAAUCUAAAGCAAUUAGAAAGAAACCAUUGGAGGGCAAGUCUGGUGCCAGCAGCCGCGGUAAUUCCAGCUCCAAUAGCGUAUAUUAAAGUUGUUGCAGUUAAAAAGCUCGUAGUUCAACUUCUGCCCCGGGACCUAGAGGCGACUCGAAGGCCCCGGGGCAUCCGUCGGCACUACGCUCCGGCGUAAGGGCAGACAGUUUACCUUGAGAAAAUUAGAGUGUUCAAGGCAGGCGUAGCCGGAAUACAUUAGCAUGGAAUAAUGGAAGAGGACUCCAAGCCGUUGUUGGUUGGGUAAGGAGUAAUGAUGAAUAGGGACAGUCGGGGGCAUUAGUAUUUAAUUGUCAGAGGUGAAAUUCUUGGAUUCAUUAAAGACUGACUACUGCGAAAGCAUUUGCCAAGGAUGUUUUCAUUGAUCAAGAACGAAAGUUAGGGGAUCAAAGACGAUCAGAUACCGUCCUAGUCUUAACCAUAAACCAUACCGACUCGGAUUCAGCCGGGAACAAUCCCGGCUGGGGCCGUACGAGAAAUCAAAGUCUUUGGGUUCUGGGGGGAGUAUGGUCGCAAGGCUGAAACUUAAAGGAAUUGACGGAAGGGCACCACCAGGAGUGGAGCCUGCGGCUUAAUUUGACUCAACACGGGGAAACUUACCAGGUCAAAACGUGGGUGUGAUGGACAGAUUGAGAGCUCUUUCUUGAUUCUACGGGUGGUGGUGCAUGGCCGUUCUUAGUUGGUGGAGUGAUUUGUCAGGUUAAUUCCUUUAACGAACGAGACCUUAACCUGCUAACUAGCGCCCCGUCUCAACGGAAGGCGCUUCUUAGAGGGACUGUGCAGAGCCUAUCGCACGGAAGUUUGAGGCAAUAACAGGUCUGUGAUGCCCUUAGAUGUCCUGGGCCGCACGCGCGCUACAAUGGCACACGCAGCGAGUAUCCUGAUCCGAAGGGAGCCGGGUAACCUGCCAGGGUGUGCCGUGAUUGGGAUCGACCCUUGCAAUUAUGGGUCGUGAACGAGGAAUUCCUAGUAAGCGCAAGUCAUCAGCUUGCGCUGAUUACGUCCCUGCCCUUUGUACACACCGCCCGUCGCUCCUACCGAUUUUGAGUGAUCUGGUGAACCUUCUGGACCGGG